AUUGAACGCUGGCGGCAGGCCUAACACAUGCAAGUCGAACGAGUGGCGGACGGGUGAGUAAUGUCUGGGAAACUGCCUGAUGGAGGGGGAUAACUACUGGAAACGGUAGCUAAUACCGCAUACAUUCGGUUGUGCCCGAAUGGGAUUAGCUAGUAGGGGGGGUAAAGGCUCACCUAGGCGACAAUCCCUAGCUGGUCUGAGAGGAUGACCAGCCACACUGGAACUGAGACACGGUCCAGACUCCUACGGGAGGCAGCAGUGGGGAAUAUUGCACAAUGGGCGCAAGCCUGAUGCAGCCAUGCCGCGUGUAUGAAGAAGGCCUUCGGGUUGUAAAGUACUUUCAGCGGGGAGGCGUUACCCGCAGAAGAAGCACCGGCUAACUCCGUGCCAGCCGCCGCGGUAAUUC
rnacentral:rRNA from 1 species